rnacentral:rRNA from 1 species
UCAAGUAAGUAAGGGCGUACGGCGGAUGCCUUGGCCAUAUCAGCCGAAGAAGGACGCGAUAAGCUGCGAUAAGCUGCGGUGAGGUGCAAGUAACCUUUGACCCGCAGAUCUCCGAAUGGGGAAACCCGGCAGCAGUAGUGCUGUCAUCCUCUAUGAGGAAGGGCACCCGGUGAACUGAAACAUCUAAGUAGCCGGAGGAAAAGGAAUCAACAGAGAUACCCCUAGUAGCGGCGAGCGAACGGGGCAGAGCCCAAACCGGGAUGGGAAACCAAUCCGGGGUUGUGGACUGCUAUCAAAUGCAUGAGUGAAGCAGAAUGAGCUGGGAAGCUCAGCCAGAGAGAGUGAGAGCCUCGUAGGCGUAAGCGAGUGCAUGGAGCAGGAUCCGGAGUACCACGGGACACGAGAAACCCUGUGGGAAGCUGGGGGGACCACCCUCCAAGGCGAAACACUGAUAUGGACCGAUAGCGCAUAGUACCGUGAGGGAAAGGUGAAAAGAACCCCGGGAGGGGAAUGAAAGAGAACCUGAAACCGUAUGUCUACAAGCAGUCGAAGACCUUUAUAUGGUCGACGGCGUGCCUAUUGAAGAAUGAACCGGCGAGUUACUUCAGCUAGCGAGGUUAAGCAGGAAAUGCGGAGCCGCAGCGAAAGCGAGUCUGAACAGGGCGUAUAGUUAGUUGGAGUAGACCCGAAACCACAGUGAUCUACCCAUGUCCAGGUUGAAGCACAGGUAAAAAUGUGUGGAGGACCGAACCAGUGAGCGUUGAAAAGCUUUUGGAUGAGAUGUGGGUAGGGGUGAAAUGCCAAUCGAACGUGGAGAUAGCUGGUUCUCCCCGAAAUAGCUUUAGGGCUAGCCUCAUGGCGAGAGUACAGGCGGUAGAGCACUGAACGGGGUAGGGGCCUAUCCGGCUACUGAACCUAAUCAAACUGCGAAUGGCUGUACUUAUCCAUGGGAGUCAGACUGUGAGUAAUAAGGCCCAUAGUCAAGAGGGAAACAGCCCAGACCAACAGCUAAGGUCCCCAAUGCCGUACUAAGUGGCGAAGGAUGUGGAAUUUCGAAAACAACCAGGAUGUUGGCUCAGAAGCAGCCACCAUUAAAAGAGUGCGUAAUAGCUCACUGGUCGAGAGACUCUGCGCCGAAGAUGUCCGGGGCUAAAGUACGGAACCGAAGCUUUGGCAAUUAACAUAAGUUAAUUGGGUAGGGGAGCGUUCCUGCAUGGGAGAAGCCUGACCGGAAGGACAGGUGGACAGGCAGGAAGAGAGAAUGCCGGUAUGAGUAGCGAAAAGAAGGGUGAGAAUCCCUUCCACCGAAAGCCUAAGGGUUCCUGGGCAACGAUCGUCGUCCCAGGGUAAGUCGGGACCUAAUCCGAGGCGGAGACGCGUAGGAGAUGGACAACAGGUUGAAAUUCCUGUACUGGCUGAGGCCGUUUGAGCGAAGGAGUGACACAGGAAGGAAGGCGCGCGUGCGAUUGGAAGAGCACGUCCAAGCAGGUAGGUCGGGAGACAGGCAAAUCCGUUUCCCAGGAGGCCGAGAUGUGAUGGGGAGCUUCUGGAGACAGAAGCGAAGGGGCUGGCACUAAACUGUCGAGAAAAGCUUCUAGUGAGGACUCAGGCACCCGUACCGAAACCGACACAGGUAGGCAGGAUGAGAAUUCUAAGGUGCGCGGGAAAACCCUCGUUAAGGAACUCGGCAAAAUAUAUCCGUAACUUCGGGAAAAGGAUAACCCAGCGUACGUGAAGUGCAGAAACGCAUGGAGCGGAGAUGGGUGGCAGAAGAGAGGCCCAAGCGACUGUUUACCACAAACACAGGCGUCUGCUAAAGCGAAAGCUGAUGUAUAGAUGCUGACACCUGCCCGGUGCUGGAAGGUUAAGAGGAAGUGUUAGCGCAAGCGAAGCAGUGAAUUGAAGCCCCAGUAAACGGCGGCCGUAACUAUAACGGUCCUAAGGUAGCGAAAUUCCUUGUC